GGCCGGGUUAAGUCCCUUGGAAAAGGGCAGCAGAGAGGGUGAGACUCCCGUUCUUGCCUGGGUUUGGCCAUUUGACACUUACUUUCAACGAGUCGAGUUGUUUGGGAUUGCAGCUCAAAGUGGGUGGUAAAUUCCAUCUAAAGCUAAAUAUGGGUGGGAGACCGAUAGCGUACAAGUACCGUGAGGGAAAGAUGCAAAGAACUUUGAAAAGAGAGUUAAAGAGUACCUGAAAUUGCUGAAAGGGAAGCGAAGGAAACCAGUGCUUGGCUUGGUCAUAUUUCUCGAAUCGCUUGCGGUUUGGGCGCUGU
rnacentral:rRNA from 16 species